UCUCUUUUAACUUUAAGUUUGUUUUGUCGAAUUCUUGGUGGUUCUCGGCUAAACAAGAUCUUCGAGCGAAUUCGGAGACUCGACGACGUCAAUAGCCUCAGUUCGCUGUCACAAAGAAGAGUACUAGGUCGGAUCUACUUCUCUGACCCGUGGCUGAUCGACUCUUCAGCUUCUACUCGAGUUUUCAGGUUGAGCAUGGAGUCCGUUGGCCUUGAAGACUCUUUUAUUACUUAUGUCUUGUUUUUCGUUCUGAGACAUGAUUUGAGACUACUUAUGUAUUAUUGUUCAGACUUUUAGUAUUCGGAUUUAGAUGCUCUUGUAUGACCAGACCAGAUACUGGGGUGGAUUUCCUUUACUUCCGCACUUGUUUAUAUUAUAUCAUAUUAUGAGA